GACGAACGCUGGCGGCGUGCUUAACACAUGCAAGUCGAACGGAAAGGCCCUGCUUUUGUGGGGUGCUCGAGUGGCGGACGGGUGAGUAACACGUGAGUAACCUGCCCUUGACUUUGGGAUAACUUCAGGAAACUGGGGCUAAUACCGGAUAGGAGCUCCUGCUGCAUGGUGGGGGUUGGAAAGUUUCGGCGGUUGGGGAUGGACUCGCGGCUUAUCAGCUUGUUGGUGGGGUAGUGGCUUACCAAGGCUUUGACGGGUAGCCGGCCUGAGGGGGUGACCGGCCACAUUGGGACUGAGAUACGGCCCAGACUCCUACGGGAGGCAGCAGUGGGGAAUAUUGCACAAUGGGCGGAAGCCUGAUGCAGCAACGCCGCGUGCGGGAUGACGGCCUUCGGGUUGUAAACCGCUUUCGCCUGUGACGAAGCGUGAGUGACGGUAAUGGGUAAAGAAGCACCGGCUAACUACGUG
rnacentral:rRNA from 1 species